CCUACGGGAGGCAGCAGUGAGGAAUAUUGGUCAAUGGACGAGAGUCUGAACCAGCCAAGUAGCGUGAAGGAUGACUGCCCUAUGGGUUGUAAACUUCUUUUAUAAAGGAAUAAAACGAGGCACGUGUGCCUUUUUGCAUGUACUUUAUGAAUAAGGAUCGGCUAACUCAGUGCCAGCAGCCGCGGUAAUACGGAGGAUCCGAGCGUUAUCCGGAUUGAUUGGGUUUAAAGGGAGCGUAGAUGGGUUGUUAAGUCAGUUGUAAACGUUUGCGGCUCAACAGUAAAAUUGCAAUUGAUACUGGCAGUCUUGAGUACAGUUGAGGUAGGCGGAAUUCGUGGUGUAGCGGUGAAAUGCUUAGAUAUCACGAAGAACCCCGAUUGCGAAGGCAGCUUACUAAACUGUGACUGACAUUGAUGCUCGAAAGUGUGGGUAUCAAACAGGAUUAGAUACCCUUGUAGUC
rnacentral:rRNA from 1 species